rnacentral:lncRNA from 1 species
UUUUAAUAAAAAUCACAAAUCAAUAUUAUUAUAAUAUAAAUACGCAUAUUGCACAGCAAUAAACAUUAACCUGUUUCUAUGAAUGAGAUUGAGUUAAACUGUAUUUUAAAGUAUUUUUUGUAAAUAAAAAUGCAAAAAUUACAAUUAUGCAUUUAAUAUUAUUAUUUUUUUUUAUAGUGAUAUGGUUGCUCCUCAGGGAAUGACUGCUGCCAGCCAAUAUGCCAGUGGAACUCAAGAAAUGAGGAGAGAUCAAUAUGAUAGUUUUGCAGGAAUGACAUCAGGACAAUACAACAGCAGACCAGAUCAAUUCACAAACUUUGCUCGAGGGAUGACAACUAGUCAGACUGAUGCUAGCAGAAUGACCCAAUAUGAUACAACGAGUGGAAUGAUGGAUUCAUCUUUCACCAGUAGACCAGAUUUGAGAAGGGAUGUUGAAGGAUUUAAUACAAUGUCCACACAACAGUACAAUACUGGAGG